rnacentral:tRNA from 1 species
UGCUUCAUAGCUCAGUCGGUAGAGCAUUCGGCUGUUAACCGAAUUGUCCCUGGUUCGAGCCCAGGUGAAGCAG